rnacentral:rRNA from 1 species
GGCUCAGGACGAACGCUGGCGGCGUGCUUAACACAUGCAAGUCGAACGAUGAAGCCCUUCGGGGUGGAUUAGUGGCGAACGGGUGAGUAACACGUGGGCAAUCUGCCCUUCACUCUGGGACAAGCCCUGGAAACGGGGUCUAAUACCGGAUAACACUCUGUCCCUCAUGGGGCGGGGUUAAAAGCUCCGGCGGUGAAGGAUGAGCCCGCGGCCUAUCAGCUUGUUGGUGGGGUAAUGGCCUACCAAGGCGACGACGGGUAGCCGGCCUGAGAGGGCGACCGGCCACACUGGGACUGAGACACGGCCCAGACUCCUACGGGAGGCAGCAGUGGGGAAUAUUGCACAAUGGGCGAAAGCCUGAUGCAGCGACGCCGCGUGAGGGAUGACGGCCUUCGGGUUGUAAACCUCUUUCAGCAGGGAAGAAGCGAAAGUGACGGUACCUGCAGAAGAAGCACCGGCUAACUACGUGCCAGCAGCCGCGGUAAUACGUAGGGUGCGAGCGUUGUCCGGAAUUAUUGGGCGUAAAGAGCUCGUAGGCGGCUUGUCACGUCGGAUGUGAAAGCUCGGGGCUUAACCCCGAGUCUGCAUUCGAUACGGGCUAGCUAGAGUGUGGUAGGGGAGAUCGGAAUUCCUGGUGUAGCGGUGAAAUGCGCAGAUAUCAGGAGGAACACCGGUGGCGAAGGCGGAUCUCUGGGCCAUUACUGACGCUGAGGAGCGAAAGCGUGGGGAGCGAACAGGAUUAGAUACCCUGGUAGUCCACGCCGUAAACGUUGGGAACUAGGUGUUGGCGACAUUCCACGUCGUCGGUGCCGCAGCUAACGCAUUAAGU